rnacentral:rRNA from 1 species
CUAGAACGCAUUCGGAAUCAGGCCGAAAGGCCUGCGCCAGCGAUGGCCGCUUGCGAGGUGCUGCAUGGUUGUCGUCAGCUCGUGCCGUGAGGUGUCGGGUUAAGUCCCAUAACGAGCGCAACCCCUACUGCUAGUUGCCAGCGGGUCAUGCCGGGGACUCUAGCGGAACUGCCAGCGUAAGCUGCGAGGAAGUGGGGAUGACGUCAAAUCAGCACGGCCCUUACGUCCAGGGCUACACACGUGUUACAAUGGCCGGUACAGAGGGCAGCCACCCCGCGAGGGGGCGCGAAUCCCGAAAGCCGGUCCCAGUUCGGAUCGGAGUCUGCAACCCGACUCCGUGAAGCUGGAUUCGCUAGUAAUCGCGCAUCAGCCACGGCGCGGUGAAUACGUUCCCGGGCCUU